UUGUAGGAUAGGAUUCUCAGGUUCUGAGAUCAAUAUUUUCCUUUCUUUUUCAAAAACUUUUCAGGUAAUCCAUGCAAAUAUUUUUUCCUAGUUUUAUAUCAACCUCCUCCUUUAAAAACCAUACCCCACCCGGUAUCCUAUUGAGUUAUUUAACUACAUGCAGGUGUAAAAUGUACAUUAUAAUACCCCCCCCCUUGAAAAAAUCCUUCCACCCCUCAACAAAAAAAAAGAUACCCACUGUCCUGUCCACAAGUACCUGUGCAUGUGCAUUCCAAAAUGUAUGCAGAUAUAAAGAGGCUUACUUACAUCUGGAAUGCAAGACAGAAAGUCCUAGUCACUUCCCUAAAAUGAGUCGUACUGUACAUAUAUUUACAAAAUAUUUAUUAAUUCGAAAAUCUUUAUUAAAUGUUGUAUUCUAUACUCACAGGUAUAAUUUGCUGGUUAUAAGCAGAUCUAUGCACGGCACUCCAUUAUACCACAUUGAUAGCUUCUCAAAGAUUAUAAAUAUGAUACAUGUAAGCAGGCACAGUUACUUGUCAUCACAAGGACCAGAUUUCAAGUACCAGAGUAGUCCUAACUCCUAAAUUUUCCCAAUUUGUCAAAAGUACAUCUAGUGACACAAGAGAAGAAUGUGGAGUAAAUGCCAAUAAAGGCUGGACUGCAGGGGUAUACCUGACUUCUCGGCAAUUUCUGGUUAUCACCAUCCGAAUGACCGAUUCAGAGGAGAAGACCAACUUCAAGGUGACUCUUAUGCAUUGAGAUCUUUCGCUGAUGGACUCAAAUUGUUUAGGAAAAAAUCCAGCUACCACAGCCACAGAUUUCUGGCGUGUGUUCAGAAGGAACAUAGAUGCAAUUGAUGAAACAAUCUCCAGACAGAUGGGUGGCCCUUGAGCAGAGAAUGUUAAAAAGAAUUGAAGCAUUCAAUAAAGAAGAUUAAGAAACAGAAUGUGUCCAGUUGUUUGUUCAUCAAAAGAAUAACUUGGAUAAUCAUAGUGGUGCUUCCUCAAAAUCUGCAUGUGUUAAAAUUAAGCAGUUUCAAAUUAAGAUUUAGAUAAAGCUCAUUAAGUCAUUUGCUGGAUCAGAUUUUGAGAUUGUACUUAUUGCAUUUUUUUAAUACAGUAACAGUGAAACGUUGAUGAUUAGUUGUACAAAUUCAUAUACAGAUCUAAGUAUUAGAAUUUCCUAAUACUUUUCAUCAAAUGGAUUAAAAGAAUUGAAAGUCCAAUAUACUAGGAAAAAUAUAUAAAUUACAUCACAUGGAUUUGAUAUGA